AUACGGAGGAUCCGAGCGUUAUCCGGAUUUAUUGGGUUUAAAGGGUGCGCAGGCGGGAGGUUAAGUCGGCGGGGAAAUUUUUCAGCUCAACUGUGGAAGUGCCUUCGAUACUGGGUUUCUUGAGUGUAGGUGAAGAAGGAGGAAUUUUUGGUGUAGCGGGGAAAUGCUUAGAUAUAACGAGGAACUCCGAUUGCGCAGGCAGCUUACUAAACCACUACUGACGCUCAGGCACGAAGGCGUGGGGAUCAAACAGGAUUAGAUUCCCUGGUAGUCCACGCAGUAAACGAUGAUUACUGGCUGUUUGCGAUACAAUUUAAGCGGCUGAGCGAAAGCGUUAAGUAAUCCACCUGGGGAGUACGUUCGCAAGAAUGAAACUCAAAGGAAUUGACGGGG
rnacentral:rRNA from 1 species